rnacentral:rRNA from 1 species
UACGUAGGGGGCAAGCGUUGUCCGGAUUUAUUGGGCGUAAAGAGCGUGUAGGCGGCCAGACAGGUCUGUUGUGAAAACUGGAGGCUCAACCUCCAGACGUCGAUGGAAACCGUCUGGCUAGAGUCCGGAAGAGGAGAGUGGAAUUCCUGGUGUAGCGGUGAAAUGCGCAGAUAUCAGGAAGAACACCCGUGGCUAAGGCGGUUCUCUAGUACGGUACUGACGCUGAGACGCGAAAGCGUGGGGAGCGAACAGG